UGGGGAAUUUUGGACAAUGGGCGAAAGCCUGAUCCAGCAAUGCCGCGUGUGUGAAGAAGGCCUUCGGGUUGUAAAGCACUUUUGUCCGGAAAGAAAUCCUUGGCUCUAAUACAGUCGGGGGAUGACGGUACCGGAAGAAUAAGCACCGGCUAACUACGUGCCAGCAGCCGCGGUAAUACGUAGGGUGCAAGCGUUAAUCGGAAUUACUGGGCGUAAAGCGUGCGCAGGCGGUUUGCUAAGACCGAUGUGAAAUCCCCGGGCUCAACCUGGGAACUGCAUUGGUGACUGGCAGGCUAGAGUAUGGCAGAGGGGGGUAGAAUUCCACGUGUAGCAGUGAAAUGCGUAGAGAUGUGGAGGAAUACCGAUGGCGAAGGCAGCCCCCUGGGCCAAUACUGACGCUCAUGCACGAAAGCGUGGGGAGCAAAACAGGAUUAGAUACCCUGGUAGUCCACGCCCUAAAACGAUGUCAACUAGUUGUUGGGGAUUCAUUUCCUUAGUAACGUAGCUAAACGCGUGAAGUUGACCGCCUGGGGAGUACGGUCGCAAGAUUAAAACUCAAAGGAAUUGACGGGGUCAUAGCUGUUUCCU
rnacentral:rRNA from 1 species